CCAGAGACAGGAACGGCUGCUCGCAGCCCGACCCCUCGCCCCCUAUGUGUACCUUGAAUCUGUUGCUUUGGCGGGCUGACGCGGCCACCGCCGGACGCGGCCACCGCCGCGCGCGCCCGCCGGAGAGAGCCUGGCUUCGGCCGGCUGUCCACCAACAUUAUUGCAUGAGAGCGUCUGAGUCGCGAGGAAAUACGCAA
rnacentral:misc_RNA from 1 species